CGAUGGCUGGUUUGUAUUACAACGUGAUUGUAAAUGAAUAGAAGAGCUUCUUGUGAAGAAGUCUUCUGAAGUUAAAGUUGCUUACAAGAAUGCGAGGGGGAGAAAGUUCAAAAUGCUAGAUGACAAGGUCUACAGGAUGAGUGUGAGAAGAGGGGAGAUUGGCUCAUCAGCGGUAAACAAAUUGGAGAUUAAAAGGUGCCGUGAGGAGGUUGAAAUGUACAAAAGCAAAUAUAGCGAUUUGGAAAAGGAGAAACAUAGCAUUUAUGAAGAAAUGAAGACAGAGGUAACCAGGCUAGAGGAAGAACAUGACUUGAAAGAGGUCAACCAAGAAUUGGCAGAUUAUGUGAAGGUCCU